GUCACGAUAGCUCAAGUGGUAGAGCAGCGGCCUGUCUAGCCGAACAUCGUGGGUUCGAAACCCGCUCGUGACA